rnacentral:rRNA from 1 species
GGAGGAUCCAAGCGUUAUCCGGAUUUAUUGGGUUUAAAGGGUGCGUAGGCGGCUUAUUAAGUCAGGGGUGAAAGACGGUGGCUCAACCAUCGCAGUGCCCUUGAUACUGAUGAGCUUGAAUACACUAGAGGUAGGCGGAAUGUGACAAGUAGCGGUGAAAUGCAUAGAUAUGUCACAGAACACCGAUUGCGAAGGCAGCUUACUAUGGUGUGAUUGACGCUGAGGCACGAAAGCGUGGGGAUCAAACAGGAUUAGAUACCCUGGUAGUCCACGCCCUAAACGAUGAAUACUCGCUGUUAGCGAUACACAGUUAGCGGCUAAGCGAAAGCGUUAAGUAUUCCACCUGGGGAGUACGCUCGCAAGAGUG